AGAAUCACUAGGCGCCGGCGCCUCCGAGGCAGUGUGUUUCCGCCCAGAGCUGGAGUCUCCCAGCUGCCAGCCGACCCCGAACCCGCACUCCCGCCAACCGCGCUUUUUGUGGGCGGUCGGAAACCACAGCCUCCGUUGGAUAUGUUCGGUGCAUGUUAUAAACAACCACUUAAACCCUCCGGAUCUGAGCCUCCCGCAGAGGAAUGCAGAAUGACGCCACGGCACGCAGGAUGUGAUGUCACCGAGAUGCAGAGGAUACUCAGUCAACCAACAUUUACUGAGCAUCUACUUCGUGCCGUAUGUCUUGUCAACGGAAAGGGGUCCCUAUCCAGACCCCAAGAGAGCAUUCUUGGAUCUCUUGCAAGAAAGAAUUUGAGGCGAAUCCAUAGAGUAAGCUUAGUGAUGUGUGUCAGACCUCUGAGCCCAAGCAAAGCCAUCAUAUCCCCUGUGACCUGCAUGUAUACAUCCAGAUGGCCUGAAGCAAGUGAAGAAUCACAAAAGAAGUGAAAAGGGCCGGUUCCUGCCUUAACUGAUGACAUUCCACCAUUGUGAUUUGUUCCUGCCCCACCUUAACUGAGCGAUUAACCUGUGAACUUCCUUCUCCUGGCUCAGAAGCUUCCCCACUGAGCACCUUGUGACCCCCGCCCCUGCCUGCCAUAGAACAACCCCCUUUGAUUGUAAUUUUCCUUUACCUACCCAAAUCCUAUAAAACGGCCCCACCCCUAUCUCCCUUCGCUGACACUCUCUUUGGACUCAGCCUGCCUGCACCUAGGUGAUUAAAAAGCUUUAUUGCUCACGCAAA
rnacentral:lncRNA from 1 species